rnacentral:rRNA from 1 species
GGGUCAGUAGGUUGGUCGUGCCACCGGUACGUACUGGUCUCACUGAUUCCUCCUUCCUGAAGAACCGUAAUGCCAUUAAUUUGGUGUUGCGGGGAAACAGGACUGUUACUUUGAAAAAAUUAGAGUGUUUAGAGCAAGCUAACGCUUGAAUACAUUAGCAUGGAAUUAUGAAAUAGGACGAUCGAUCCUAUUUUGUUGGUUUCUAGGAUUGACGUA